UCACUUUGAACAACGGAUCUCUUGGUUCUCGCAUCGAUGAAGAACGCAGCGAAAUGCGAUAUGUAGUGUGAAUUGCAGAGGUAUGUGAAUCAUUCGAAUCUUUGAACGCAAAUUGCACUCUUCGGUAUUCCGAGGAGUAUGCCUGUUUGAGGGUCGCUU
rnacentral:rRNA from 1 species